CUACGUGCCAGCAGCCGCGGUAAUACGUAGGUGGCAAGCGUUGUCCGGAAUUAUUGGGCGUAAAGCGCGCGCAGGCGGAUUGGUCAGUCUGUCUUAAAAGUUCGGGGCUUAACCCCGUGAUGGGAUGGAAACUACCAAUCUAGAGUAUCGGAGAGGAAAGUGGAAUUCCUAGUGUAGCGGUGAAAUGCGUAGAUAUUAGGAAGAACACCAGUGGCGAAGGCGACUUUCUGGACGAAAACUGACGCUGAGGCGCGAAAGCCAGGGGAGCGAACGGGAUUAGAUACCCCGGUAGUCCUGGCCGUAAACGAUGGGUACUAGGUGUAGGAGGUAUCGACCCCUUCUGUGCCGGAGUUAACGCAAUAAGUACCCCGCCUGGGGAGUACGACCGCAAGGUUGAAACUCAAAGGAAUUGACGGGGGCCCGCACAAGCGGUGGAGUAUGUGGUUUAAUUCGACGCAACGCGAAGAACCUUACCAGGUCUUGACAUUGAUGGACAGAACUAGAGAUAG
rnacentral:rRNA from 1 species